ensembl:snRNA U2 U2 spliceosomal RNA
CUUGCUUCUUGGCCUCUUGGCUAAGAUCAAGUAGAGUGUUCAUAUCGGUUUAAUAUCUGAUUUAUCCUCUGAGGACAAUAUAUUAAAUAGAUAUUUGCAGCAGGGAGAUGGAAUAGGAGUUUGCUCUGUCUACUCUGUGCUUCAACCUAGUAUCGAAGUACCUUCAGGAAUGGUGCACACCCA